CCUAAGUGUUCUGAUUGUGCGCCUCUUUUUAUGAAGGCAUAUCUGAUGCGUAAUGCUGGUGCUGUUAUCCACAGUCAUGGAAUGGAAUCCUGUCUUGUAACGAUGCUCAAUCCACUAGCAAAAGAAUUUCGGAUCACUCAUAUGGAAAUGAUAAAAGGAAUUCAAGGGCAUGGUUACUAUGAUGAACUUGUGGUUCCUAUCAUAGAGAACACUGCAUAUGAGAGAGAACUCACAGAAUCUCUUGCUGAAGCUAUCAAAGCUUACCCGAAAACGACAGCUGUGCUGGUUCGCAACCAUGGUAUAUAUGUAUGGGGAGAUUCUUGGAUCAGCGCUAAAACACAGUCUGAGUGCUACCACUACCUCUUUGAUGCUGCAAUUAAACUACAUCAAUUAGGAAUUGACUGGACAACACCAGCUCAUGGUCCCAUUCAGAAUGCAAAAAUAUCUGCACUUGCUCCAAAUGGCAGCAUAAAGCCAUCAAGGCGGUGCAUCGUUUUGGAUAUCGAAGGAACUACUACUCCAAUAUCAUUUGUUACUGAGGUUCUAUUCCCUUAUGCACGUAAUAAUGUUGGGAGACAUUUGGAUGCAACAUAUGAUUCAGCAGAGACUCAACAGGAUAUUAAGUUAUUACGCGCUCAAGUGCAACAAGACCUGGAAAAUGGUGUUGCUGGUGCUGUGUGUAUCCCAGCUGAUGAUGCUGGGAAAAUGGAGGUAAUUGCAGCUUUGGUCGCUAAUGUUGAGGCAAUGAUUAAAGCUGACCGCAAGAUUACUGCCUUGAAAGAGUUACAGGGGCAUAUUUGGCAAACUGGGUUCCAAAACAAUGAGUUAGAGGGACUUGUUUUUGAUGAUGUACCUUCAGCUCUUGAGAAAUGGACUGCUUUAGGCGUCAAGGUGUACAUAUACUCGAGUGGCAGCAGAUUGGCACAGAGGCUUUUGUUUGGUCACACAAAACAUGGAGACCUGAGAAAAUUUCUCUAUGGAUUUUUUGAUACAACAGUGGGCAACAAGAGAGAAACAAAAAGUUAUGCAGAAAUUACUGCGUCGUUGGGUGUAGAUAAUCCAUCAGAGGCUGCCUUUGCAGCUGUGGCUUCUUGAUAGACAUCUGUCACAAACAAAAUCUCUGAUGGAU
rnacentral:misc_RNA from 1 species